GUCUUUUUGGUAUUUAAUAUAAAGUCUGACCUGCCCACUGAAUAUAGUUUGAAGGGCCGCAGUAUUUUGACUGUGCAAAGGUAGCAUAAUCAUUAGUCUUUUAAUUGAAGGCUGGUAUGAAUGGUUGGAUGAGAUACAAGCUGUGUCAUAUAAAUUAAUAUUUGAAUUUAACUUUUUAGUCAAAAGGCUAAAAUAAUUUUGAAAGACGAGAAGACCCCAUAGAGCUUUAUAUAAUAAAUAUUUAAUUUAUUAAGAUUUAUCAAAUUUAGUUAUUUUAUUGUAUUUUGUUGGGGUGACAAUAAAAUUUAUAAAACUUUUAUUUUUAUUUAACAUUAAUUUAUGAAUAAAUGAUCCAGUUUUAUUGAUUAUAAAUUUAAGUUACCUUGGGGAUAACAGCGUAAUUUUUUUUGAGAGUUCUUAUCGACAAAAAAGAUUGCGACCUCGAUGUUGGAUUAAGAGUAAUUUUGGGUGUAGAAGUUCAAAGUUUAAGUCUGUUCGACUUUUAAAUUCUUACAU
rnacentral:rRNA from 1 species